AUGUACGCCUUUGUACACUGCGGUUCCUGCGCUCCGGCGGCCACCGUCAGACGACCGCUCGCUACGCUCUGAAGGGC
rnacentral:sRNA from 1 species